rnacentral:tRNA from 1 species
AGUGGUUAAGCAUUCAGCUGGUAACUGAAAAGUUGGUGGUUCAAACCCACCAGCUGCUC